CUUCUCUAUCGGGCGGGCAGACUGACGCUGGUGAACUGCAAGCUCACGAUGAUGCCUAUCUUUCACCUGAUGGCGCUGGACCUCCCCCCGUGGUUCUUCAAAUGCAUCGACAGGCUGCGAAGGUGCUUCUUCUGGCACGGGCUCGAGGAUGCCAGGGGAGGGUGCUGUCUUGUGGCUUGGCAAAUUGUCUGCUCCCCGAAGCCUCUCGGUGGGCUGGGCGUGCUCAACCUGCGGCUUCUGAACCAAGCCCUGCGAUGGCGCUGGCUAUGGUUGCAGAAGAUGGUGAUGGAUAGGCCCUAG
rnacentral:rRNA from 1 species